AAAAAAAAAAAAAAAAAAAAAAAAAUUGAUUUGGCUAGAAAAGAAAUUCAAAUUUGCCGCCUAAAUUUGAGUGUUGAGGUGUGUUCAAUGCUUGGUUUCGCAUUAAGUACCCGUCAAAUUUGAGGGAGAAAAGGGGUGUGGGUGUUGGGUAGCCAGCACAUAUGCACAUAUCAGGUAAAAGUGUAAUGGGACUUGUGCAGGUGUUUGGGGUGACUUUAGACCUGUUAGAUGUGAUAUUUGGAGGUGCAAAGAAACCGGAUGUGCCAUUUUCCUAGAUUGUAGUAACUGCUGGUGCAUGCUGGGAGUCUAUACAAGCCUCAUGUUGUCAGAUGUUGUGAAGAUGCACUGGAUUUGACCGUGUGUGUUGUGGAUUGUGGAAUUGAAUAUACAGUUUGUAAUGGCUCAUCCUAUGUGUUCUAAUUCACGGAGACAAUGUUUUUCAGUCAUUUCACCCAAGGAGGCAUGCAUAUACGGAUUGAUAGGCUUUGACAACAAACAACCAAAAUGGCGGCCGGUGAAUUAGAAAGUGUCUGAGUGCAUGUAGGAUAUCUGAACGGAGAAUAGGAGUACUGCAUCCCAUCUGAUCCUGCAGUCAUUUCACCCAAGGAGGCAUGCAUAUACGGAUUGAUAGGCUUUGACAACAAACAACCAAAAUGGCGGCCGGUGAAUUAGAAAGUGUCUGAGUGCAUGUAGGAUAUCUGAACGGAGAAUAGGAGUACUGCAUCCCAUCUGAUCCUGCAGUCAUUUCACCCAAGGAGGCAUGCAUAUACGGAUUGAUAGGCUUUGACAACAAACAACCAAAAUGGCGGCCGGUGAAUUAGAAAGUGUCUGAGUGCAUGUAGGAUAUCUGAACGGAGAAUAGGAGUACUGCAUCCCAUCUGAUCCUGCAGUCAUUUCACCCAAGGAGGCAUGCAUAUACGGAUUGAUAGGCUUUGACAACAAACAACCAAAAUGGCGGCCGGUGAAUUAGAAAGUGUCUGAGUGCAUGUAGGAUAUCUGAACGGAGAAUAGGAGUACUGCAUCCCAUCUGAUCCUGCAGUCAUUUCACCCAAGGAGGCAUGCAUAUACGGAUUGAUAGGCUUUGACAACAAACAACCAAAAUGGCGGCCGGUGAAUUAGAAAGUGUCUGAGUGCAUGUAGGAUAUCUGAACGGAGAAUAGGAGUACUGCAUCCCAUCUGAUCCUGCAGUCAUUUCACCCAAGGAGGCAUGCAUAUACGGAUUGAUAGGCUUUGACAACAAACAACCAAAAUGGCGGCCGGUGAAUUAGAAAGUGUCUGAGUGCAUGUAGGAUAUCUGAACGGAGAAUAGGAGUACUGCAUCCCAUCUGAUCCUGCAGGUAAGUGUUUAUUUGUUUACAAUGACAGUCAGGAUGGAAUGUCAAUGAGUUCAACUGUCAAGUAAAGUUGCAUCAUCAUUAUAAAAAAAAA